rnacentral:lncRNA from 1 species
GAGAACCUUUAUUUUAAAGUCAAAUUAUAAAUUCUGAGUGACGUUUAAGGGUGUCAGCAGCAAAAUUCUUAAAGAAUAAUAGUAGGUCACCUGAGCUGUGUGGUAGCAGUAGCACCCCAUUUCACAUUGUAAUAUUUCUGAGCAGCAUAUGCAGCAUAAGCGUGUGAUGAAGAUUGAAGACCAGGUCAAACGUGGAGACACCUGAGGUAAGUUGCUAUCAUAGUGAGGUAUUCGAACAUUAGAUAUAAACAUUCACUAGAAACUAAGACGUUGUUUCUCUACUGGCUUCAGGUCCAUGAAGUUCACUUGUAGAAAAGGAUGUGUCCCUUUCCUCAGAAUUUUAGGGUUAGGACUGUUUCCUAGGUUUUAAAAUUAUAGGUCUGUAUUCUUGUUUCCACCUCAUAUCAUUUUUUUAAAAAAAUUACUUCUGCUUAUUCACAUAAUUAGAAGUUUGCUGCCUUUCUCAGUCUCUCUUAUAAAUGUCCUUCCAGGUUGCUUGGAGUACUUCUGUACUCACUGGUGAAGUGACUGGAUGAAGCCUAUGUUUUCCCUGGGGAACUGUACCUGGUGAUGAGUGUAUCACGUGUGCAGCCUGAGAAUUUCUAAUGGAUGUUUCUGUAGAUUCUGACAAAAGGAGCAAGUCCUACGCUGCAAAUUCCAGAAAAAAGUUAAAUGCUUGCCAACUGAUAUUUAAAUGCUGUGGAUAAGUUUCUGACUCACAAAAUCAAAAUUCCCAUUAACUGCUGUGGGGUAGGAAAGAUGUUGCUCUG